ACCAGCCGCUGAAUCGGAUGCUGCGAAUCGGAUGCCAACUUCAGCGUCGUUGUGUGAACACCGGUUGUGUGUUGUCCCAUGUUGCAGCUAAUAAACCAGUCCAGUGCUCAACCCAACCUGUCUCCGUGGGUUCAAUUAAGAAGCAGAAGAGCUGCAGUGUACCCAAGGUCACAUCUGCUCUAUAAGGUGUCCGGCCGCCAUCCCCUAUUCACGUGCUUUUGUGUAUUGGAGAACCUGCUCAGCAAGCUGCAGUCUGCAACUUCUGCGGGAGGUUUAAUUCAAAUCCAGUACUGUUGCAUUUCAGCAAAAGCACAAGGGUGAAAGUCUUUGGUCCCCUUCAACUCCUGAGCAACAACAGCAGCAGUGGCAUCUUCCCCUUCUUUCCCCUAAGGCUGUAGCUGCUCCAAACAAAGUUUGAGGCCACAGAGCGCA